GUGCUCACUUCAGCAGCACGUAUACUAAACUUGGAAUGAUAGCAGGGAAGAUUAGCAUGGCCCCUAAGCAGGGACCACACACACACACACACACACACACACACACACA